rnacentral:misc_RNA from 1 species
UAAAAUAGAUGCAGAGCUGAAGUGUCAAGCUUUGUCUUAGAACAUAAGUUGCUGCUGCUAGUUUCGUAGUGAUUCUCCCCCAAAGAUGACUUUAAUACAAAGAGUGUGCUUAAUAUUGUUUGUUCUCUGUUUACUUAAAUAUAGUUUUAGCGUGCACAAUAAACACCCAGUGUUAUUUUCAAAGUUAGCAACAUGCCAAGAGUUCUCUUUGGAAGCGGAUAAAUGUCUUCACUUUUUCCCUUUUGAGAAAAUUAAAAACUACAAAUCAAAGGAGAACAAAAUCCACUUGAAGUUGUAUGUGAUGGCCUCAAUGGACGCAAACAUUGUACUCACAAAUGGUUACGGAGAAGGAACUGUUCGUUACACAGCUGUUACGUACAUCACACAUCUUCACAACCUAUAAUAUCGUUUUCACGUUGUUCGCCGCUCGUAACUACAUUCUCGGAAAAAUAUCCGGUUUGAUCUCUCUGAAAUGAUUGUUUAUUCACAUUUCAAAUGAGUGAAGUACAUUCGAUAAACAUAAUUCAUGAUCGGGUGUAUAUCCUAAGAAGUCCAGAUCAGAGCAUAUAACCGGUUAAAUCACUGCAUUUUCAAAAGGACUCAGAUAUUUAUUGGAGGUGUGGGGAAUACCUAUUCUUGGUUAAGAAACACAAGUGAUACAACCAUAGGCUUAGACAGUCAUUUGCCUAAUAUUCUGUCCCCACUUUGGCCCACCCCAAUCAUUAUCGAACAGAAACAUGAUGGAAGGUUGGAUGUAUCAAUACCCGAAGUAGCAGAGCCACUUCUGACGACUGACGCGUCCGAUUUGACGAAUGUCCAAUCUUUUUGCCUAUAUGCAUGGAGGAAUCCUUGUCGAUGGUUCUUUAACUGUACUGAGAUUGAAGAUGAUCUCUUAGAUGACUUUUAGAUGCGAGUGUGCUGAGUAGAAGCGAUGGUUAAGAAAUUAAAGCAAAUCUGAUUUAAAUAUUCUAAAUACCAAUUUAUCAUUUCGAAAUCAAAAUAUUUUCAAUCAUUUACUGAAAGUAAGCAAUAGAUCACAUCAGUCAAACUGAGCAGAAAACUAAGAUAAAUUUCUAGUUAAGGUACGACGAAUCAACUGUCAUUGUUGGUUAGGUUUUUUGAUCCUCUAGAUCCGGGUGGUUCAUCCAUCUCAUUGAGUAAAUGAUUAAGCCAUAGGAUUGUCGCCCUUUCUUUUCAUGUGCUCAUUACCAUAUUCGUCGACGAGUGGUUCAUUUACAUGUGAAAGUAACUGUAUAGUUCCUCUGAUUAUAAUUUCCAUGGCCAGACGGCUUAUUCUUAAGUGGAAAGGACCCUCAAGCGCUAUAAAGUGUUAAAAAUUGCUCCCCACAGCGUCUGGACACGAAAUCUAAUUAUAAUAAUAUAAUAAUCGUUGGUGCAACAAUCCGUAUUGGAUUAGGGCCUUGAAGUGUGUUAGAGCACUUCAUUCAAGACCAAAACGGUACACUACAGUCCACAGUAGGAGGCAAUGUGGUCAGCAUUGCGCUCGCCCGAGAUUAUUACCCUGAUUUGACUCAGGUACUCAUUCACGGCUGAGUCGACUGUUACCGACAUCCAGUCCCUCUGCUGUCAUUGAGAUUUGAACCGCGACCUUCCGCUACGACAGCCCAAUGCUCUAACCACUGAAGUCAUCCGAACACAAAAGAAAUAAGCUUGCGAAAACAAAAAUAAAGUUUUUAAUUUGAGAAGUAUUGAGGGUUAGUUAUAUGCAGAUUCAUUCAUUCAUUCAUAUGAACGACGCAUUGGAGAAUGAAAUUGAGGAUCCUACGAACUGCUAAUUAAAGCUCUUCGACGAGCUGAAGAUCAGGCGAUUUGAAUGCUGCUGCAAUGAGAUCGAACAGAACAACCUCGAACCUCGAACCCCACCACCUUAUAUAUCGAAGAGAAUAGACACACCGGAUACCAGAGGACCGAAACCUCUCCUCACUAGAGAAAUAUAGGAACAGAAUAAAAAUUGAGCUUGCGUCAAACAAGUUUCACCGCCGAAGCCGAAACGAUGACCCAGAGGUUGACGAAAAACAAGGUUGGAACAGAAGCGUGCUGAAUUAUAUCGUCUUCUGAAGAUCUCAGAAAGAGACAACAAGCGACACUUCAUGGAACUACUGAGAAAACUACAAUACCGAAAAAUGGCACUGUCGAAAAAAACGAUAUUAAGGCAGCGAUAUUUAUAAUAGUCAUAAUAUAAUAAUAUGCUAUGAUAGUAUUAUAAUAAUAAAUAUGUCGCUAAAAAGUUAAA